rnacentral:misc_RNA from 1 species
GAUGAAGAACGUAGCGAAAUGCGAUACUUGGUGUGAAUUGCAGAAUCCCGUGAACCAUCGAGUCUUUGAACGCAAGUUGCGCCCGAAGCCAUUAGGCCGAGGGCACGCCUGCCUGGGCGUCACACGUCGUUGCCCCCCCCAUCUACUCCUUCGGGAUUGCGGGGGGCGGAUGAUGGCCUCCCGUGCGCCUCGUCGCGCGGUUGGCAUAAAUACCAAGUCCUCGGCGACGCACGCCACGACAAUCGGUGGUUGCGAAACCUCGGUUGCCCGUCGUGUGCGGUCGUCGCGCAUCGAGGGCUCGAAAAAAUUGCCGGGCUCCGGCUCGGCUUUCAACGCGACCCCAGGUCAGGCGGGGUUACCCGCUGAAUUUAAGCAUAUCAAUAAGCGGAGGA